UGCGUAGGCGGGCAGGUAAGUCAGUGGUGAAAUCCCCGAGCUUAACUUGGGAACUGCCGUUGAUACUAUCUGUCUUGAAUACUAUGGAGGUAAGCGGAAUAUGUCAUGUAGCGGUGAAAUGCUUAGAUAUGACAUAGAACACCAAUUGCGAAGGCAGCUUGCUACACAGUUAUUGACGCUGAGGCACGAAAGCGUGGGGAUCAAACA
rnacentral:rRNA from 1 species